rnacentral:lncRNA from 1 species
CUACAAUGUUGGGGAGACUUUAAGAUAACAAAUUUAAGUGUGUUAACAUGUAUAUACACUGGAAGCAAAUGUCACAUAUCCAAGAAAAAAAAGAUAGAAACAUGUCUUAAUUAUUGCAUUUUUCUCUGAGCUUUUGAAGGAACUGAAACAAGGAUUAUCUUGGUUAUGUAACAUAUAACCAAUGGCAUGGUUUCUAGUUGGGACUGUAAUCCUGACUAAUAAGAAGGGGAGGACAAUAGUAAAUUUUGCUUCCUUAAGACAAGAUGUUUCCUGCCAUGACUCCUUACAGAAAGGAAGACUGUGGAGGUAGUGGCUAGCAAAGGUGACAAUAUCCUGCUUAACACUUAAAUUGUUGUUUUAAUGACUUAAAACAAAUUGCUCUGCUUCCUUAUUCUUGUCAGAUAUUGUUAAAUAGGACUGCUCUCUACAGAUGCGAUCUCUGAUGGACUUCAAGGCCUAUAUGGAUAAAAUGAAGACAUGGGCAGAUCAUUUUUGAGAGAACAGAUUUAAGUAACAGCAGAUUUAAGUUUUUCAGCAGAUCUAAGAAAACAGCAACAUUGAGACUAGGAGGAAGAAAAGAGAGCAGUCAUGGAGGAAUGCUUUGUCCACAUGAAGUGUCAAGAUUCUUAUGAGAAAUCAAUUCUCCUGUUUUCACACAGAUUGGAGUCCUUAUUAGCAGUGUCUUGUAGUAAGCAGAUGCUGAACACAGAAACUACUUGCGGAGACUGCCUGCUACUGCUUACCAAGUAUUUUCUUCUGGUCAGAAGGUCAGUCUAUAAAAGAUUGUCUCGAGUACAAAGAUCAGCAUUCCAGCUAGAGCAGCACUAGAGCUUAUUCUACCAAGAUGAGAAAGUUGGAGAGCGAUGGAUCUUCACUAGCAACUCUCACCGCUGUCCUGUGCGAAGAGACCUCAUGUAAAGCUAAGCCUGAACUGUAAUCACCAGUGCAAGCAAGUUUGAUUUUUUCCUUUUAAAAUUACCAAGAUAAGUAAGCAUUCAGGAAGGCAUCUGACUGAUCCCACAUGAAUGGCAUACCCCAGGAAUAAUCUCUGACUGGUGGUUUUGUUCUCAGAAUAAGCGCAUGAUGUCUGGAUCCUGAGUAGCAAUAAAGUGAAACUACAAAUAAACCA